rnacentral:lncRNA from 13 species
CCGCCCGGCCUUCCCCGCAGAGCCCCUCCCGCGCCCGGGGAAGCCCGCUCGGCUCCGCCUUUUCGGCUGACGUCCCGGGCGAGCGGGGGCGGGCGCGUGGGUGGGCCGAGCCGUCAACCGCCCGCGAUUCGGCUGGCUCUGCCACACCACCGCGCGCCCCCGCUCCGCCCGCCCCUCCGGGCGCGUCUUUUCCGGGCUCGCGCCGCGCCCCGCCUCCGUUGGCUGUCUGUCUGGGUGCGCGCCCGGCGCUGCGGCUUUUUCUCCGGCCUCCGCGGCGGGCUCCUCCUCGUCCCAGCGCUAGCGGGCACGCGGCUCUUUUUUGCUAGCUUCCCGAGUGCCGGCUGCGAAGACGUGGUGGGCAGCCCCUCCGAUUGAAAUCACAGAAGAUAUUCGUGUUCUUCUUAAGAGAAAAAGAGGACAUUUGUAAGUAUUUGUCCUUUCGAAAUUCUACAUAUGUAAUUUUAUUAGCUUUUUGAGAAAAUUAAGUGACCAUACUAAUAGGCGUCUUGACUCUUUUUAUAGAGGAAAAACUACCAAUAUUUAUGAUUAUGUUUUAAAAGGUGCUAUUUUAUAGAGCAAAUAGGAAAACAUUUUACCCUGUGCAGCUUCUAAAAUUUAAACAAUUUGCCACUCAUUUGUAAAAGAGCAAGUGGUAAUUAAAAUUCAAACACAAUCUUUCUAUUUGAGUCAUACCCAAAACUGGAGUCAGAGAUUGGAGUUCCAGUUCUGACUACUGAGACUUAUAGAAUAUGUGUCUUUGGCAAGCUACUUAGUCUCUCAUUAUCUCAGUUUCCUUGUCUUUAAAAUGAGUUUAAUAAUAAGUAUACAGGGGCUGAGCAUGGUGGCUCAUGUCUGUAAUCCCAGCACUUUGGGAGGCCGAGGCAGGUGGAUCACGAGGUCAGGAGUUCAAGACCAGUCUGGCCAAGGUGGCGAAACCCCAUCUCUACUAAAAAUACAAAAACUAGCUGGGCAUGGUGGCAGGUGCCUGUAAUCUCAGCUGCUAGAGAGGCUGAGACAGAGAAUUGCUUGAAUUCAGGAGGUGGAGGUUGCAGUGAGCCGAGUUUGCGCCACUGCCCUCCAGCCUGGGUGAGAGUGAGACUCCAUCUCAAAAAAAAAAAAUAAAAGAAAAGAAAAAAGGUAAGUACA